UACAGAGGGGGCAAGCGUUGUUCGGAAUUACUGGGCGUAAAGGGCGCGUAGGCGGUCAGCACAAGUCAGUUGUGAAAUCUCCGGGCUUAACUCGGAAAGGUCAACUGAUACUGUGCGACUAGAGUGCAGAAGGGGCAACUGGAAUUCCCGGUGUAGCGGUGGAAUGCGUAGAGAUCGGGAAGAACAUCAGUGGCGAAGGCGGCCUGCUGGGCUGUUGCUGACGCUGAGGCGCGACAGCGUGGGGAGCAAACAGG
rnacentral:rRNA from 1 species